rnacentral:rRNA from 1 species
UACGUAGGGGGCAAGCGUUUGUCCGGAUUUAUUGGGCGUAAAGCGCGUGUAGGCGGCCACGCAGGUCCGCUGUGAAAACUCGAGGCUCAACCUCGAGCUGUCGGUGGAAACCGCGUGGCUAGAGUCCGGAAGAGGAGACUGGAAUUCCCGGUGUAGCGGUGGAAUGCGCAGAUAUCGGGAGGAACACCCCGUGGCGAAGGCGGGUCUCUGGGACGGUACUGACGCUGAGACGCGAAAAGCGUGGGGAGCGAACAGG